UUUCACCUACUGGUAAUGAGAGAAGAGUGAGGAGGCAGAUCAGCCAUAUUGGAUAAUGUUUUCUUCUAGUGAAGAAGUGCUAUGAAGAUGGAGUAGCACUUUAAUUUAAGGCCACCUCUCCUGCAAUUGCCUACCACGAGUGCUACCAUGAAGAGUGCAAUAUCAAGAUUUCAGAAUACAUACUUCUCAACAAUGGGAUAUUCUGCUGCUCUUCGAUUUGCUUUGGGAUUUUAAGGAUAUGGCCUACCAACCCAGCUAGGUUACUUGUGCUUGCUGGAAGGUAGCCUAGUAUCAUCGGCUUCAGUCAUCUUCCUGGUCUUGGCAAAUUUAUUUAGAAUCCAUAGUUUUCAAAAACAGGCAAGAGUUGAGUGGGUUCUACCACAGGCAGUCACUAGUGAUUGAGGAUUCCACUUCAGCCAUCAGAGUUCCAUUGCUUUGCCAUAUUUAAUAUUUAUUCAA